rnacentral:rRNA from 1 species
UGUGUAGGUGGCGCGCUAAGUCGGGUGUGAAAUUUCGGAGCUUAACUCCGAAACUGCAUUCGAUACUGGCGUGCUUGAGGACUGGAGAGGAGACUGGAAUUUACGGUGUAGCAGUGAAAUGCGUAGAUAUCGUAAGGAAGACCAGUGGCGAAGGCGGGUCUCUGGACAGUUCCUGACACUGAGACACGAAGGCCAGGGAGGCAAACG